CCCAUGCAUUGCACUGACGCGUGACGUGUCCGUGCGAACAAUGUGCAGAAUACAACAGAACUGCACAUGGCAAAUGGCACUGAAAGGCGGUGGAGUGAUUUUGUCCGAAGUUUUGCAUCUUCACGUUUGCUUUCAGUCGGUGUGGAACCAAGGCUAUGGUGGUGAAAGAAAUGAGAACUUUACCGCCUUUACAGUCAUAUAAUUGUGAAGUGCAAUUAUUUGCGUUUCAUGAAAGUGUGGUGUGAUACGAUGCGCGUGUGAAUUGUGUGUGCGGGUUUCAAGAAACCAGAAACAGCAGAAGUGUGAAUGCCGGCUGAGAUGACCACAUUGGGAACUGGUACAGCGAAGCUGUUCAUAACAGCUCGCAUAGUGGACUGUAGGACCUGGUGGACCUCAUGUUGCUGAGCAUCACACCCACGCCGUCUUGAGGGUAUCCUGGAAAAGAAUCAUACAGUUCUACUUCAAGAUCUGUACAGCAGCAUGCAUAUUGGGAAAAAUGCAAUACAUAUUCUUUUCCCAUUUCUUGAAGAGCUCGGGAUCGCCUGGCACACCGAAAGAGCAUACUUGUUUCCGCACGUGUGAUAAGCAGUCUUGCAUUUCACAACAAAGUAAGUCUUUGCA